rnacentral:lncRNA from 1 species
GUAUAUACAGACCCAUGUUUUCUACUUGCUUUUUGUUGUUGUUCAGAGAAGGAUCACUGGGUCUGGGGCAAUCAGAGAAGACCUCAUGAGGACUGGAAAAUCUUAUUUCUUGAAGUUCAAGCUCAAGUAUCAACAAGGAAGAAAAUGCCAAAUAGAAGGAAUGAUAUGAGCGAAGGAGGUGUGAAGGACAAGUUCCAUGACAGCAAGAACUUCAUUUCAUUCACUGCUCUGUCCUCAGUGCCUAGUUCAGUGCCUGACACAUUGCAGCUUCUAGAUAAGUAUGGAAAGG